rnacentral:rRNA from 1 species
GGGCCCGUACAAGCAGCGGAGCAUGUGGUUUAAUUCGAAGCAACGCGAAGAACCUUACCAAGGCUUGACAUCCCCUGACAACCCUGGAAACAGGGCUUCCCUUCGGGGCAGGGAGACAGGUGGUGCAUGGUUGUCGUCAGCUCGUGUCGUGAGAUGUUGGGUUAAGUCCCGCAACGAGCGCAACCCUUACAUUUAGUUACCAGCGGGUGAUGCCGGGGACUCUAGAUGGACUGCCGGGGACAACUCGGAGGAAGGUGGGGACGACGUCAAAUCAUCAUGCCCCUUACGUCUUGGGCUACACACGUGCUACAAUGGCCGUAACAAAGGGAAGCGAGAUCGUAAGAUGGAGCGAAACCCAGAAAAGCGGUCCCAGUUCGGAUUGUGGGCUGCAACCCGCCCACAUGAAGUCGGAGUUGCUAGUAAUCGCGAAUCAGCAUGUCG